GCAUCCAGGGACUCAGUUUAGUUAUCUAAGAAUUUACAGGAAAACAUGAAACCCUUAUGGUGACCUUUUCCGCCUGAAUAUGGGUGUUUUCAGUCUUUACAAUUCAUAUGGUAACUUGCUGGGUAAAUAAAUAUUCUGUCUGGUCCCAAAACACUUUAUUUCAAAGAAUCCUGUUUCCUUUGCUCUAAUAGUUUCAGAUAACGUGAACGGGCUUAUAAUGCCCCUUUGCUCUCUUGUAUAAUUUUGUUUCCUUAACAUUAGCAAUAGUCAAGUGUAUAGAGCACUUACUGCAGGCCGGAUGUUUUGCUAAGUGCCUUACAUGUGUUAUCUCAUUUAAUCUGUAUGACAGGGUUCAGAGGUGGAUUAAUUGUGUGACUAUUCACUUGCAUGGCCACUUCCAAAGUUCUGGAAUGGCCUAGCUGUGGAUUCAUACAAUCAUACUACGUGUCUUUGCAAAAGACUACCCCUCUGUAAACUUCAGCUCAAAGCCUGGUUCUGCCCCUGGGUGGAUACUUUAAUGAUCUAUAUUGUAUAGUUGAGAAGACAGAAGCCCAGGCCAUCUGGCCCCAGGCCCCUGAGGUACUCUGCACACGGUUAGGAGUCUGAGUUUCUCUGAAUAUCUUAGUGAACAUACUGCUUCAUAUCAAAGUUAUAUUAAUUAUACUUAAUUUGCAAUUCUAGAUUCUUCUUAGUGUUCAAAUAGGUCCUUUCCCACUUUAAUCAGUUUUCAAAGUACCUUUCAUCAAAGAGUUACAGGUUUUUUGAAGUGUUGAUACAUUGAAUGUAUGUGUAUAGAAUUAUGCAUUAAUCCAAAUUUGAACCCUAGUAUGAAAAAUCUGCCAAGUAAACUGGCCUGUUCUUCAUUCUCACCUGUUUGGAGUUUUUCAGGCAUGUGAAUCCAGAAUAAGGAGGCAAAGGGAGCAUUUUGGGUGACCUAAAAGCUGGUAGACAUGGGCAAAGGAGAGCAAGGCAGAGGCUUUUAUUUAGAGAGAAAGUGAGAGGACAGAGCUCCUGGCUCAGGCCAGGAGGGGACAAGAGAGUCCCUGAUCCCUGAUUCUUAAUGCUAGAAGCUGACUGCUGAAGUCCCAGCAGGAGUGGAGGCCCCACGACCGGCCCCCCAGAGCCCAGUGUGCUGUGAGGGCCAUUUCCUCCAACCUUCCUGCGAGCAGACUGCUCGGCACCGUCCAAACAAUGCUUUCCAAGCUGACUUGGCAGUGGGACUCUGGGUUCUAAAGAAAUCUUCAGCUUCCAAGCGUUUAAAACAGCCACAAAAAUAAAAGCAAUGAACAGGUUA